rnacentral:tmRNA from 2 species
CAUCUUGUGGCCGGCGCGGCGAAACCGUAUAUUCCCGCUGUCAUCCUCGGAUGACUAUGACGGUAGACGGCUAAGCCAACUAGGUUUUACGGACCCCGGGGCAGUACCGGGCGGGUCCACCCCAGCCUUUCCAACCGGGUUUUUCUCCGGGAAGGUUGCGGCGGGCCCGAAACAGGAUCGACGUGGGCUGAAAGGUUUUGCUUGCUGUCCGGCAUGAUACCGCCGUUAUCGGGUCAAACUUAUAGUUGCCAACGACAACUAUGCUCCGGUCGCCGUCGCCGCGUAAUGCGGCGCUAGCACCGAAAUCAAAGUCCUGAGGCUUAGCCGUUUCAGGCGGGGCCCGGAGGCGCCUGGCAACAGAAGCCUCCACU